AGGACGAACGCUGGCGGCGUGCUUAACGCAUGCAAGUCGAGCGGAAAGGCCCUUCGGGGUACUCGAGCGGCGAACGGGUGAGUAACACGUGAGCAACCUGCCCUUAGCUCCGGGAUAGCUCCGGGAAACCGGAAUUAAUACCGGAUAUGACCUAGGCCGACAUCGGCUGUGGUGGAAAGUUUUUUCGGCUGGGGAUGGACUCGCGGCCUAUCAGCUUGUUGGUGGGGUAAUGGCCUACCAAGGCGACGACGGGUA
rnacentral:rRNA from 1 species